AAAAGGGAUUUUUGGGAUGAGA
rnacentral:miRNA from 1 species